rnacentral:tRNA from 1 species
GCCUCACUGGCUCAGUUGGUAGAGCAUGUGAUUCUUGAUCUUGGGGUUGUGAGUUCAAGCCUCAGGUUUGGUG